AUUGAACGCUGGCGGAAUGCUUUACACAUGCAAGUCGAACGGCAGCACGGGAGCUUGCUCCUGGUGGCGAGUGGCGAACGGGUGAGUAAUGCGUCGGAACGUGCCGAGUAAUGGGGGAUAACGCAGCGAAAGUUGUGCUAAUACCGCAUACGCCCUGAGGGGGAAAGGUAGGGGGAGUCGCAAGACCUCACGUUAUUCGAGCGGCCGACGUCUGAUUAGCUAGUUGGUGGGGUAAAGGCCUACCAAGGCGACGAUCAGUAGCGGGUCUGAGAGGAUGAUCCGCCACACUGGGACUGAGACACGGCCCAGACUCCUACGGGAGGCAGCAGUGGGGAAUUUUGGACAAUGGGGGCAACCCUGAUCCAGCCAUUCCGCGUGAGUGAAGAAGGCCUCGGUUGUAAGGUACUCUUCUAGCU
rnacentral:rRNA from 1 species